rnacentral:rRNA from 1 species
UGCGCAGGCGGAACUUUAAGUCAGUGGUGAAAUCUUGCCGCUUAACGGUAAAAUUGCCAUUGAUACUGAAGUUCUUGAAUAUGGUUAAGGUAGGCGGAAUGUGUUGUGUAGCGGUGAAAUGCAUAGAUAUGACACAGAACGCCGAUUGCGAAGGCAGCUUACUAAGCCAUUAUUGACGCUGAGGCACGAAAGCGUGGGGAGCGAACAGGAUUAGAUACCCUGGUAGUCC